rnacentral:rRNA from 1 species
UACGUAAGGGGCAAGCGUUGUCCGGAUUUACUGGACGUAAAGAGCAUGUAGGCGGCCAAACAGGUCCGUUGUGAAAACUGGAGGCUCAACCUCCAGACGUCGACGGAAACCGUGUGGACUAGAGUCCGGAAGAGGAGAGUGGAAUUCCUGGUGUAGCGGUGAAAUGCGCAGAUAUCAGGAAGAACACCAAUGGCGAAGGCAGCUCUCUGGGACGGUACUGACGCUGAGACGCGAAAGCGUGGGGAGCGAACAGG